UAUCCCGGAGGCUAGAGGCGAAAGGCAGGGAGAUCAGAGCUUAUAGGUUUGAUAUUUUCUGCAUUCAAGCCGUACCAGCCGUAACUGCCUUUAGCCUCACUGGCUUUGAUUUUGACUGAAGAAUGACAAGCGCUAUUGCAUGCUGGGAAAAACCGGACACUUCCGUGGCCACCUGGCAGAGAACAACUUCUGUUUGGAGAGGAAGUCAUCUUUGCUUCUGUGGAUUUUGAGUGCUUGGCAGCGCCCUGGAGAAGACAAGCAAACACCCCGAGACACGGUGAAGAUCCCAGGGAAGUAGGCGUUAAAGAGCAAACGUGUACAGCACACAUCCAUCCAUGUGGGACACGCGGGGGUGUGAGGCCAGAUGCAUGCUGGGUUCUUGCUGUCGGCGCAGCUGGUAUGCAUGUUCAUGGUGGGGAGAUUAAAGACCCCCCGACUUAUCAUCUGCAGGGCUUGUGGGAAGGAGAGUCAGUGGAGUAGAGACUCUUGAAUGGUUUGUGUUGUGUAAUUCCCUCCUUCCAGUAGUGACUGUGCCACACUAACUGUAUUACACUGUAAAUGACAACCUGCAUCUUUGCCUUCCAAACGAGAUCACCCUUUGUUGCUGUUACCUGGGAAAAAUUUCAAUUUGUACAGGAAACGUGAGGAUGGUAAACUGUCCAUUCAUUGUCAGCAUUUUCCUGUUUUAGUGUCAGCACCUUCUCAACAGGAUUCCCACGUUAAAAUCAUUUUUUACAUGAUCCCAGGAAGCUAUGUGUCUGUAGAAUGCACAGCUGCAGAGCCUUUAAGAAAUUUCCCCCUGUAAGACACUAUCUACAAAGAAAGAAAACGAACACAGAAGUGGUAUCUUAAUUAGUUAAGUGUCCAUCCAUAUUGUACAGCGGUGUUUCCCAAUCUGGUUCCCGGGGAUCCACAGUCGAUCCACAUUUUCGCUCCCUCCGAGCCCCCUACCAGACAGUCCAUAUUUUUGCUAUUGCGAGCUGGGAGGGAGCAAAAAUGUGGACUAUCUGUGGGUCCCCUAGGACCGGACUGAGAAACACUGUGGUACAGGGUCAUGAUGAGCCUGGCACCUAUUACGGAUAGAGCAGGGGUACAGCUGGAGGGGGUGCCAGUCAUUCAUAGGCAGACACACACAGCCUUCCUGUUGGAGCAGAUUAAGGAUUCACACACCUGACUGCCAUUGGCAUGAUUGAGGAAACCAUAGCAGUCACUCAGAACAAGCAUAACAUGCAUAAUCGAGAUAGGAUUCAACCCCCAAAUCUGGUGGUGUCACCCACUAAUAACUAAUUUUUGAAGGUAAUUUAUUUUGUGGUUUUUGCGCCAUAUUCAUUAGUACUCAAUAACCCUGAGCUCAUCCACAAUUCCCAGCGUCAUGCUACUAUGACAACAGAAAAGACCCGUUCAAGGGUAAAAAUCAAACUGUGCCCAGGACAAUGGUCAAUAAUCACAAGUACUGUAUGACUUUACGCAGAGAGGCCCUGUAACAGCACGCAAAUUGGGGGGCUGAAGUUUCGUGCUGAAAUGCUGCGUUGUUUAAAACCGUCACGGUUAAAAUUCAUUUGGUCCGUUAUUAUAA